GCCUGCUACAUGUUGCAGAAUGUUGGAUUCCACAAAUAACAACACAACCUGUUUCUAAGAGAAAGCUGACCAAGCACUAUUCACAGCGGUCAAGAUUGGGAAGCAACCUAAGUGUCCAUCAACAGACAAAUGGAUAAAGAAAAUGUGAUACCUAUACACAGUGGAAUACCAUUCAGCCAUAAAAAAGAAUGAGAUCCUGUCAUUUGCAAAUGUGGGUGGAACUGGAGGUCACUAUAUUAAACGAAAUGAAACAGGCCCAGAGAAACAAACUUCACAUGUUUUCUUUUAUUUGUGAUUGCUAAAAACUGAAACAAAGGAACCUAUGAGUUUUAUAGAUUCCCUAUCUAAAGAUAAAGAGUAGAAUCAACCUUCCCAGGAAACAUAAUCAGGCUUUGGCAGGGGAGUGGGGACUGGUUAAAUGGGUAUAAAAAUAUAGUUAGCUAGAAUAUAUACAAUCUAGUAUUUGAUAGUGCAACAGGGUAACUAUAAUCAACAAUAGUUUAUUAUACAUUGAAAAAUAACUAAGAGUCUAAUUGCAUUGUUUGUAACACGCAGUAAGGGUAAAUGCUUGAGGUGAUGGAGAACCCAUUUACCUUGAUGUGAUUAUUGUUCGUGGUGUGCCUGUAUCAAAAUAUCUCAUGUACUCCAUAAAUAAAUAUACCUACUAUGUACUCACAAAAAUAAACAUUCAAAAUUUUAAAAAAUUGACAUUUUAUUUGAGCAUUUCUAUAUAAAUGUUUAAAGUAUUAUAAGCAUGAAUAAAUAUUUACACAGAU
rnacentral:lncRNA from 10 species